AUACGGAGGGUCCAAGCGUUAUCCGGAAUCAUUGGGUUUAAAGGGUGCGCAGGCGGUUUAUUAAGUCAGUGGUGAAAUCUCGGGGCUCAACUCCGAAACUGCCAUUGAUACUGAUAAACUUGAGUUCAGUUGGAGUAGGCGGAAUGUGUAGUGUAGCGGAGAAAUGCUUAGAUAUUACACAGAACACCGAUAGCGAAGGCAGCUUACUAAACUGAUACUGACGCUGAGGCACGAAAGCGUGGGGAGCGAACAGGAAUAGAAACCCUAGUAGUCC
rnacentral:rRNA from 1 species